CUGCUGGGAUAGCUCAGUCGGUAGAGCAUUAGGCUCUGAAUCUCAGGGUUGUGGGUUCGAGACCCACCUUGGGGG